rnacentral:lncRNA from 1 species
AAAAAACUAGAUUUACAGUUUAUUAGUAAUUCCGUCGUAAGUCGUCGAGUUUAAAAACACAACACAUUAUGAAAAAUAAAUUACAUAAAAGGGCAGAAAAUAUAGUUUGUUUAGGUUGAGGCGGUGACAAUCUAUCUAUAGUAUAUAUAUUUCUGGAGGAAAAUUACAGAACAACUCAUGUGUGCUGUUAGAUUACCAACAACUCAUUUGUGCUGUUAAAUUACGG